rnacentral:rRNA from 1 species
GACGAACGCUGGCGGCGUGCCUAAUACAUGCAAGUAGAACGCUGAAGGAGGAGCUUGCUUCUCCGGAUGAGUUGCGAACGGGUGAGUAACGCGUAGGUAACCUGCCUGGUAGCGGGGGAUAACUAUUGGAAACGAUAGCUAAUACCGCAUAACAGUAGAUGUUGCAUGACAUUUGCUUAAAAGGUGCAAUUGCAUCACUACCAGAUGGACCUGCGUUGUAUUAGCUAGUUGGUGAGGUAACGGCUCACCAAGGCGACGAUACAUAGCCGGCCUGAGGGGGGGAUCGGCCACACUGGGACUGGGACACCGCCCAGACUCCUACGGGGGGCAGCAGUAGGGGAUCUUCGGCAAUGGGCGGAAGUCUUACCGAACAACGCCGCGUGAGUGGAGAAGGGUUUCGGAUCGUAAAGCUCUGUUGUAAGAGAAGAACGAGUGUGAGAGUGGAAAGUUCACACUGUGACGGUAUCUUACCAGAAAGGGACGGCUAACUACGUG